CCACCUUAACCCUAAACCUAUCAUUUUGAUAACACCCGCUACUUGUUUUUAUUCCUUUCCCUCUCAAUUCCUAGCCUACACUCUCUAAAUCUCACACAACCACUCCUCCACAACCCUCUCCCCUAAUGAUCGAACAGCCGGCCACCGCUAGUGGUGGCGGCGCACGGCAAGUGAGAGAGAGAAAGAGAGCCGCAAGUGAGAGAGAGACGCGGAGAGAGAGUCGGGGAGAAAGAUUGGAAGGCGACGGUGGCUCCGGCAACGACGGUUUUUAGUGCGGUCUCGGGCCUCGAGUCUGGAUUUCCGGUGUUGGUUUCAGUUCGGGUUCGGGUCACGUUCAGUUCAGUAUUGCUUGGCGUCGUUCAUGGUUCCGGUUUUCGAUUCAAGAUUUGAUUCGGGUUCGGGUGCUACGGGUCAGACUCGAGCUUCGGUUCAGCAGGUUCGGGUCCGGUUCAGUCUACGUCGAGUCAACGGGACAGUCGGUUCGGAUUAGAGACGGUUAACUAGUCGGGCCAACCCGGUCAGAUGUCACCGAAGCCGUACGGAGAUCACCACGGGAACCCUCUCAUCAUCAUUCGGAUAAACCGUUCGUUCGCUCUUUUGGAUUUUUCUCCAUCUUUACUCGUGCGAUAAUUCAAGAAAUCUUCGUACGCAACCAAUAGCAUUGGCGUGACUGGACUGGUAUCUUCAUUGCACAGCGGAAGC